GAUCAUGGCUCAGAUUGAACGCUGGCGGAAUGCUUUACACAUGCAAGUCGAACGAUGAACCUUAGCUUGCUAGGGGGAUUAGUGGCGAACGGGUGAGUAAUAUAUCGGAACGUACCUUGUAAUGGGGGAUAACUAGUCGAAAGAUUAGCUAAUACCGCAUACGCCCUGAGGGGGAAAGCGGGGGAUCGAAAGACCUCGCGCGAUUAGAGCGGCCGAUGCCUGAUUAGCUUGUUGGUGGGGUAAAAGCCCACCAAGGCGACGAUCAGUAGCUGGUCUGAGAGGACGAUCAGCCACACUGGGACUGAGACACGGCCCAGACUCCUACGGGAGGCAGCAGUGGGGAAUUUUGGACAAUGGGGGAAACCCUGAUCCAGCAAUGCCGCGUGAGUGAAGAAGGCCUUCGGGUUGUAAAGCUCUUUUGUCAGGGAAGAAACACCGGCUCUAACACAGUCCGGGAAUGACGGUACCUGAAGAAUAAGCACCGGCUAACUACGUG
rnacentral:rRNA from 1 species